rnacentral:rRNA from 1 species
AUGGGCAUGCUGUUCGAGCUGCUCCGCAACUACGCCGGGUUCUACCGCAAGAUCCAGGAGGACAUCGAGGCUAACCUCGCCGAGCCCGACGUGGAACGAAGGGAGGGCGGCGAGGUGUUUGCGACCAAGGUGGCGCUGAAGCUCGAGCGGAGCCUCUCGGACCUGAAGCAGUUCAAGAAGAUGGCCUCGCCGUCCGUCAGAGACGAGGACAUCAAGGAGUUCGCCGGGAAACUCUUCUAA